rnacentral:tRNA from 1 species
UGUUCUGUGGCGGAGUUGGUUAACGCCCCCCUUUCUAGCGAACUUGAGGAGACGUGGGUUCAAAUCACACCAGAACUA